GCUUCUGAACUGUCUUUGAGGCACGUGUAUGAGAUCGCCAAGGCCCUUGUUUAAAGCUUUGGUUGCCUUGUGUUCAGAAUCGCAAUGAUGCACAAUCACUUGUGUGCCACGAAAAUAUGUAUCGUAAACGCUUCAAACGGAUUCACUAAAGCUUCAUCAUCGUUUGAUUUACUAUUCACUACAGCUCUAUAAAUACUAUGUACUAUUUUUUUUAUACUAAUUAGUCUUCAUUCA